GAGGAAUAUUGGACAAUGGGUGAGAGCCUGAUCCAGCCAUCCCGCGUGAAGGACGACGGCCCUAUGGGUUGUAAACUUCUUUUAUACUGGGAUAAACCUACUUACGUGUAAGUAGCUGAAGGUACAGUAUGAAUAAGCACCGGCUAACUCCGUGCCAGCAGCCGCGGUAAUACGGAGGGUGCAAGCGUUAUCCGGAUUUAUUGGGUUUAAAGGGUCCGUAGGCGGACUCGUAAGUCAGUGGUGAAAUCUCAUAGCUUAACUAUGAAACUGCCAUUGAUACUGCGGGUCUUGAGUAAAGUAGAAGUGGCUGGAAUAAGUAGUGUAGCGGUGAAAUGCAUAGAUAUUACUUAGAACACCAAUUGCGAAGGCAGGUCACUAUGUUUUAACUGACGCUGAUGGACGAAAGCGUGGGGAGCGAAC
rnacentral:rRNA from 1 species